AUCGCCUCUCUUACGUGUAUCUCCCCUCUUUGAAGUUUACUUGAAGCAACGCCAAGGAACAUUAUCGUUGGAUUUCCUCUUGGUUCGUCUCCUUUCCUCGUCCACUCGAUGUUUCCUGCCAACAUAGUUCGAUCUAUUGGUUGCUUAAAAACUAUGGUGGUUAUCCCUUCCAAGAUCUUGUUCUUACAAAUUUGAUUAACUUAGAAGGUAGAUGCUGCUCUUAUUGCAACUGGAAGAGCUCCAUUCACAGAAGGGCUUGGUCUUGAGAGUGUGAAUGUUCAAACACAAUGUGGUUUUAUUCCUGUUGAUGAACGCAUGAGAGUGAUUGACUCAAAGGGAGAACUGGUAUUGACUCAAAAUUGACAUCAAAAUUUUAAUUGGAUUUUUUUAAGUUUAUUUCUUUAAACAUAAACUGAUAAAAUAUUGGUCUUUUUGGGUCACUCACUUGUAUUGCAUUGGUGAUGCUAAUGGAAAGAUGAUGCUUGCUCAUGCAGCAAGUGCCCAGGGUAU